GAUGAAGAACGUAGCGAAAUGCGAUACGUAAUGUGAAUUGCAGAAUUCAGUGAAUCAUCGAAUCUUUGAACGCACAUUGCGCCUGCCAGCACUCUGGCAGGCAUGCCUGUUCGAGCGUCAUUUCAACCAUCAAGCCCUAGGCUUGCGUUGGAGCCCUGCGGCUGCCGCAGGCCCCUAAAAGCAGUGGCGGGCUCGCUAUCACACCGAGUGCAGUAGUUUACUCUUCGCUCAGGGCGUGUGGCGGGUUCCAGCCGUGAAACCCCCUACUUCUCAAGGUUGACCUCGGAUCAGGUAGGAAUACCCGCUGAACUUAAGCAUAUCAAUAAGCGGAGGA
rnacentral:misc_RNA from 1 species